AGCGAACGCUGGCGGCAUGCUUAAACACAUGCAAGUCGCACGGGCACUUCGGUGUCAGUGGCGGACGGGUGAGUAACGCGUAGGUAUCUAUCCUUGGGUGGGGGACAACUGUGGGAAACUACAGCUAAUACCGCAUGAUAAACUGAGGUUUAAAAGGCGCAAGUCGCCUGAGGAGGAGCCUGCGUACGAUUAGCUAGUUGGUGGGGUAAAGGCCUACCAAGGCUACGAUCGUAGCUGGUCUGAGAGGAUGAUCAGCCACAUUGGGACUGAGACACGGCCCAAACUCCUACGGGAGGCAGCAGUGGGGAAUAUUGGACAAUGGGCGAAAGCCUGAUCCAGC
rnacentral:rRNA from 1 species